rnacentral:rRNA from 1 species
GAUGAACGCUGGCGGUAUGCUUUACACAUGCAAGUCGUACGAGAGUUUUUAACUCAAGUGGCGGACGGGUGAGUAACACGUAAGAAUUUGCCUUUAGGAGGGGGACAACAACUGGAAACGGUUGCUAAUACCCCAUAUGCUUUCGAGUGAAACGGUUUUUCCGCCUAAAGAGAAACUUGCGGCUGAUUAGCUUGUUGGUAAGGUAACGGCUUACCAAGGCGACGAUCAGUAUCUGGUUUGAGAGGACGAUCAGACACACUGGAACUGAGACACGGUCCAGACUCCUACGGGAGGCAGCAGUGGGGAAUUUUCCGCAAUGGGCGAAAGCCUGACGGAGCAAUACCGCGUGAGGGAUGACUGCCUAUGGGUUGUAAACCUCUUUUUUCAGGGAGGAACAAAAUGA